GCCAGCGUAGCUCAGUGGCAGAGCACUUCCAUGGUAAGGAAGGGGUCGGGAGUUCAAUCCUCCCCGCUGGCU
rnacentral:tRNA from 2 species